rnacentral:rRNA from 1 species
UACGAAGGGGGCUAGCGUUGUUCGGAAUUACUGGGCGUAAAGCGCGCGCAGGCGGUCUUCCAAGUCAGUGGUGAAAGCCCGGAGCUCAACUCCGGAACUGCCAUUGAAACUGUUAGACUUGAGGAUGAGAGAGGUGAGUGGAAUUCCCAGUGUAGAGGUGAAAUUCGUGGAUAUUGGGAAGAACACCGGUGGCGGAGGCGGCUCACUGGCUCAUUACUGACGCUCAGGCGCGAUAGCGUGGGGAUCAAACAGG